rnacentral:misc_RNA from 1 species
AAAGUCGUAACAAGGUUUCCGUAGGUGAACCUGCGGAAGGAUCAUUAUUGAAUUCCAAAGGAUGUUGCUGGCGUCGCGAGACGUAUGUGCACUCCGACUAUUCAAAACCCCUGUGCACUUAUUGUAGGUUGACGGAUUAAGUUCUGUUCACCUAUGUUUUUAUAAACUCGAUGUAUAGAAUGUCUAUGUAUGACCUUUGUUGGUCAAAAACAUUUAAUACAACUUUCAACAAUGGAUCUCUUGGUUCUC